rnacentral:rRNA from 1 species
GAUGAACGCUGGCGGCGUGCCUAAUACAUGCAAGUCGAGCGAACAGACGAGGAGCUUGCUCCUCUGACGUUAGCGGCGGACGGGUGAGUAACACGUGGAUAACCUACCUAUAAGACUGGGAUAACUUCGGGAAACCGGAGCUAAUACCGGAUAAUAUAUUGAACCGCAUGGUUCAAUAGUGAAAGACGGUUUUGCUGUCACUUAUAGAUGGAUCCGCGCCGCAUUAGCUAGUUGGUAAGGUAACGGCUUACCAAGGCGACGAUGCGUAGCCGACCUGAGAGGGUGAUCGGCCACACUGGAACUGAGACACGGUCCAGACUCCUACGGGAGGCAGCAGUAGGGAAUCUUCCGCAAAGGGCGAAAGCCUGACGGAGCAACGCCGCGUGAGUGAUGAAGGUCUUCGGAUCGUAGAACUCUGUUAUUAGGGAAGAACAAAUGUGUAAGUAACUAUGCACGUCUUGACGGUACCUAAUCAGAAAGCCACGGCUAACUACGUG